rnacentral:rRNA from 1 species
GAUGAACGCUAGCUACAGGCUUAACACAUGCAAGUCGAGGGGCAGCAUGGUCUUAGCUUGCUAAGGCCGAUGGCGACCGGCGCACGGGUGAGUAACACGUAUCCAACCUGCCGUCUACUCUUGGACAGCCUUCUGAAAGGAAGAUUAAUACAAGAUGGCAUCAUGAGUCCGCAUGUUCACAUGAUUAAAGGUAUUCCGGUAGACGAUGGGGAUGCGUUCCAUUAGAUAGUAGGCGGGGUAACGGCCCACCUAGUCUUCGAUGGAUAGGGGUUCUGAGAGGAAGGUCCCCCACAUUGGAACUGAGACACGGUCCAAAACUCCUACGGGAGGCAGCAGUGGGGAAUAUUGGUCAAUGGACGAGAGUCUGAACCAGCCAAGUAGCGUGAAGGAUGAAGGUCCUACGGAUUGUAAACUUCUUUUAUAAGGGAAAUAAACCCUCCCACGUGUGGGAGCUUGUAUGUACCUUAUGAAUAGCAUCGGCUAACUCCGUGCCAG